rnacentral:rRNA from 1 species
CUCCAGACUCCUACGGGAGGCAGCAGUGAGGAAUAUUGGUCAAUGGGCGGGAGCCUGAACCAGCCAAGCCGCGUGAGGGAAGAAGGUACAGCGUAUCGUAAACCUCUUUUGUCAGGGAACAAAGGCGGGGACUAGUCCCCGGAUGAGGGUACCUGAAGAAAAAGCAUCGGCUAACUCCGUGCCAGCAGCCGCGGUAAUACGGAGGAUGCGAGCGUUAUCCGGAUUUAUUGGGUUUAAAGGGUGCGCAGGCGGCCUGUUAAGACAGCGGUAAAGCCCGGGGCCUCACCCCCGGCGAGCCGUUGAAACUGCAUCCCUUGAGUGCGCGAGAAGUAUGCGGAAUGCGUGGUGUAGCGGUGAAAUGCAUAGAUAUCACGCAGAACUCCGAUUGCGAAGGCAGCAUACCGGCGCGCAACUGACGCUCAUGCACGAAAACGUGGGUAUCGAACAGGAUUAGAUACCCCAGUA